rnacentral:lncRNA from 9 species
GUGUGAGGAUGUGUGAGACAGCGUGGUUGAAGGUACAUGUGACCAGAAUCAUGGAGGCUGUGACAGUAUUUCUGUGUGUGACGGCAUGGCUGAGGGUGUGACAGACAGUGUUGCUGGUUGAAGGUAUGACAGUGUGGCUCUGUGUCUGGCUGAAGAUGUGACAGCCUGGCUGUGUGUGACAGCAUGUGUGACAGUGUGGUUGUGUGUUACAGUAUGGCUGAAGAUGAGAUAGUGUGGCUGUGUGUGGCUGUGUGAUGGAAGGUGUGAUGGUGACACUAUGUGUGUGAUAGUGAGUGUGUGAUGACAAGAGCCAAGGGGCUAUGACUGCCCCAUCCCCACCCCUAGGCUGCACUGGGAGCCCAGCUACACUGUCACAGACAGCUACACUGUUACAUCCUCAGCUAUGCUGUCACAUAUAGCCAUGGUGUCAUGUCUUUGUGCUGGACUGAGAGGCCUUAUGGCAUGGGGACUGGUGGCUGCCCAGUCUGAGGACAUCCUUAGGCCUGAGAUGGGACACCUGGAGAUCCAGCACCAGCUGGGGCCCUGUCUUGCCCCUCUGCCUUCCUAUGAGCAGUAGCCACAGGAAGCCCCGCCGCCUGCCUGUCCUCGGCCCUGGCAAGGCUGAGCUGCCAGGGCACUUGUGAGUGUGUGUCUGUGGGAACUUUGUGUGCAGCUGCGGACUGGCCUAAGUGUCCCACUAGUGCAUUGGGAAUGCCUGUGUGUGUCUUUGGGUAUCGGUGUGACAUAACUGGGUGUGAUCGUGGAUGAUCUUGUGUGUCUGAGUGUCUCUGGGUGUGUGUGGUCUGUGUAUCUUUUUGUGACUUUGUGUGUGCCAUUUCUAUGGCUGAUUUUGAGAGCACCUGUGACCGUGACCCAAAAGAUGUAUAAGACUUUGUGAGGCCUUGUGUGUGUUUGUGUAACUGGGCUCAGCAUGUGAUUCUGGGAAUCUGUGUAACUGUGUGUGAGUGUGUCUCCACGAGUCAGUGUAAAUCUGAAUCUCGGGGGCGGUCUCUGGGUGGGACUGGAGUGUCAUUGGUGUCACUGUGGGUAGCUCUGGGGAAGUCUGUGUGGAAUUCUCCAUGCGGCUGUGUGUGUGUCUGUGUACUAAGGGUGUGCAACAGCAUCUCUGGGUGAUCCUGUGUAUGGCAUUUUAUAUUCCCCCCAAAAGAGAAGGAUCUGUAUUUUUGUGUGUCUGAGUAUGUGUGAGUCUUUGUGAUUCUGUAUGCAUGUGACUAUAGGAGUUGUGUGAUAUGGAUGCAGGUGCUGGGCCAGGUGUGCCUUGGCAGCAGGGCCUGUAACUCCUCAUUUCCCACAAGGGGUUCCCAGCUAAGGGAGGGGGCAGGUAGCUCAAGGCUAGGACCUUAGGCACAGACCAUGCCUUCCAGGCUGGGCAGAAGAGGCAUAAUGUCCCCUUGGGGCGUGAGGAUCCCCAGUCCUGCCAGGAGGCCCUAGAGUACCCCUCACCCACCUGGGCAGCCCCUGCAGCCUGGCUCUUUACUUAUCCUAUGUGCCAGAUGUUCAUCGUCCUCUCCUGAGAGGCCCACCCAGCUGCCCGGGAGCCCAGCCAUUCCUGACCCUACCUUCUGUGGCCCAGAGCAUGGCUGUGGGAGCCCAGAUGUUUUGGCGCCCCCUUCCACUGCCCCCAGCAUCCUGGCCAGGUAGUGCCAUGGGCCUGGUGCCCACUCCCCCCCCCACACCUGCAUUGUAAGAACACACCUGCUGCCAGCUGCAGCCAGGUGGGCAGCCCCGGCAGGGAGGAAUGUGGGGGAUUCCAGCUGUGGCAUCCCAUCUGUGCCCAGCCCCCUGGCAUCACCCUCCUCCCCUGUGAUUUCUUGGAGGCCAGGUGUGUCCUAAGACCUGGG